rnacentral:rRNA from 1 species
UACGGAGGGGGCUAGCGUUGUUCGGAAUUACUGGGCGUAAAGCGCACGUAGGCGGCUUUGUAAGUUAGAGGUGAAAGCCCGGGGCUCAACUCCGGAACUGCCUUUAAGACUGCAUCGCUUGAAUCAUGGAGAGGUCAGUGGAAUUCCGAGUGUAGAGGUGAAAUUCGUAGAUAUUCGCAAGAACACCAGUGGCGAAGGCGGCUCACUGGCCCGAUACUGACGCUGAGGUGGCGAAAGCGUGGGGAGCAAACACGG